rnacentral:rRNA from 1 species
GAUGAACGCUAGCUACAGGCUUAACACAUGCAAGUCGAGGGACCGGCGCACGGGUGAGUAACACGUAUCCAACCUGCCCUUUACUCGGGGAUAGCCUUACGAAAGAAAGAUUAAUACCCGAUAUAAAGGAUGGGGAUGCGUUUCAUUAGGUUGUUGGUGAGGGAACGGCUAACCAAGCCUUCGAUGGAUCGGGGUGCUGAGAGGAAGGUCCCUCACAUUGGAGCUGGGCCACGUUCCAAACUCGUACGGGAGGCAGCAGUGGGGAAUAUUGGUCAAUGGGGUCUAGCCUGAACCAGCCAAGUAGCGUGAAGGAUGAAGGCUUAUGGGUCGUAAUCUUCUUUUAUAUAAGAAUAUGUAUUAUAUGAAUAAGGAUCGGCUAACUCCGUGCCAGCAGCCGCGGUAAUAC